CCUCCCACCUCAGCCUCCUGAGUAGCUGGGACCACAGGCCUCCCAGGAAUCCUGCCCAGAGGCGCUCACUUCCUCCUUCCAGAGGCCCUGAGGCUCCAGGCCCAGGAGGACGCACAUUGGGAGGUGAGGCAGCACCAACUUCCCUGGCCUGAGUUGCCCUAAGGUAGGUGCUGUUGUGAUGUCCCAGUGACAGGAGAAGCUAAGGCCCGGGGAACAGUCACUUGCCCCAGAUUUCUCCAGGGUGGAAUGUGCAGGAACAAGACUUGAAUUCAGGCUGAUUCCAGCAGCCAGGCUCUUAACCACUGUUGGUUUGUUUCGAGACAGAGUCUCA